GGAAAAGGGACAACCACACUAUUAAAAAAUUAAAGCACUCAAUAAAGCAGAACAAUAAGCUUUAUUAAGGAAUCUAGAUACCUAGUUUCAUUGUCAAGUUGUCUUUUGAGCAACUUUUGAUCUAUAGUUUAACUUAGCUUCCCUUUUUUUUAUCAUUUCAAUCACUUUGCAGAACAAUCAUUGUUUCUGAGGAAUGUUGCUGACUAAACCACCAUGCCGUUGCAUAGCAGCAACUGGUUCACCACAUCUGGGGCAACGAAACGAUGAAGAUGCAGAGCACCUUGUUUGAAGACAGUAGUAACAGUACCUAUGCUGACAAGGGAUAGCUACAAAUGGAAUUGAUGGGGUUCCCUGGCAGAUGGGGCAUAAAGUUUCAUCUACUGAAGAAUCUGAAGAUUUGUCCUUUGAGAAUGGACGAAGGAAACUCUUGACAGAUGCUGAAUUGAGAAGGGGAAGAAGCAAGAGCAGCAGUUCCGAGAAUUCAUUCCAGACCAACUGACGAUUCAUGUACUCAAAGCUCACAGCUCUGUUCAUAUUUGGGCUCCCAUAAACAAGUCUAGCUCUUAAAGCUCUUUCAAUGAGAUUCCUGAACCUUCCUGUGUAAAGAAAGAGAAGUAAAUUGCUAAAAGAUGCUGCUUUAUAGAUACCCUCCAUCCGUUGCAUUAACAACCACACUCCACGUGCCAAGGACCUCUGCUCAGAGUCACCCCAUCUCCGAAAAGCAGAAAAUGAUUGUAGACGAGCCCAUAUAUAUUGACCACCAACUGUUGCAACACAGUACCAUAUCUUUUGAGCAACAGUAAGUCCUGGUCCCUCUAAUCCAGUCCUCACUUUUCCUCUAAUCUCACUUGCACGUUCAUCUCUGUAUCUCAGAUUCAUGAGAGCAUUACCAGGAGUAGGCUUAUCAACCCAGAUAGAAAAUCGCCAGAUUAGAAACUCAAGAAAAGCAUCAAGUUCUGGUUCAUAUUGAAAUAACAUUCCUG
rnacentral:misc_RNA from 1 species